UUAUACUUUAUGUCUAAUAUAUUUGUUUGUAGGCCAGGCUGCAGCUGCAUAUGGCAUUUUAGCAAUAAUCUUCAAUUGCAUUUCAGAUAUUCACAAAGUCUAUCCACCUUUGUAAUUAACACAUUAUGUGUGUCUUAUACCAUUAAUUAUAGUAUCUGUAUUAUAUUACACAUUGUCACUGACACAUUUCUGAUACAGGGAAAACAAUAGCAUGAUUGCUUUAGUAAUUACAAUUUUUCUGUCCAUGCACCACAUUCCUGGAAGUCCAGAAUAUAGCAAGAAUCCUUUGUCGUUUGAUUCUAUGGAGCCAUUUAACGUUUUGAUUGGUAUAGUUAUACCAAAAGAGCAAGGAGUAUGACGGUAGAUCACAUCUGCAACAGAACCAUUACAGAUUCCUUGUUGUAUCAAUGUCUCUGUGUUUAUGUUUACAGGAGUUCCUUGCUUUGUAGGUAUGUACAUAAUAUGUAGAGUUUAAGAAAAGCUGCAAAUCGUGCUUUAGUACAAGUGUCCCGUGAUGUCAGGUUUCUGACAGGUUUUGCUGGCCUUUUAUAUUCCAUUCUCUUGGCAGGGCAUCUGCUCUUAGUAGGCCGGUAUUGUUAUUAUUUAUUAAUUGAAUCAAGGUUUCUUUUGUUAAUUGAUGUGUUUCUACC